rnacentral:rRNA from 1 species
UACGUAGGGGGCUAGCGUUGUCCGGAUUUAUUGGGCGUAAAGAGCGUGUAGGCGGCCAGGUAGGUCUGGUGUGAAAACUCGAGGCUUAACCUCGAGAUGUCAUCGGAAACCAUCUGGCUAGAGUCCGGAAGAGGAGAGUGGAAUUCCUGGUGUAGCGGUAAAAUGCGCAGAUAUCAGGAAGAACACCAAUGGCGAAAGCAGCUCUCUGGGACGGUACUGACGCUGAGACGCGAAAGCGUGGGGAGCGAACAGG